GACGGGAGGAGCGAGCAUUAUUCAAAAUGAUUAGGCGUAAAGAGUUUGUAGGUGGUUUAAUAAGUUGAAAAAAUAAAAAUAAAGCUCAACUUUAUUUCUUUUUCAAAACUAUUAAACUUGAGUAUAAAUAGAAGAUAAUAGAAUUUCUAUUGUAGUGAUAAAAUAUGUUGAUAAUAGAAAGAAUCCCAAAAGCGAAAGCAAUUAUCUAGGUAUAUACUGACAUUGAGAAACGAAAGCUUGGGUAGCGAACGGG
rnacentral:rRNA from 1 species